rnacentral:lncRNA from 1 species
CCGGGCCUGGUGCCGGACCAGCAGGAGGGAGUGAGAACGGGCAGGAUUCUGCUUUCCAGGAGCCUACAGUCUAGUGCAGGGCAGCUUCGAGACAGAUCAACCCACAAAGGAUUGUAAAACUCCCACCAGGAAGAGCACCGGAAAGAGGGGGCCUUUCAGGGGCCCUGGAAUCCUUCUCUGGGGAAGCGACAGCAAGCCGAGGUGAAGGGUGAGCAUGUCUGCGGCCCGUGAAUCAGCCCCCAGGCCGACCCCGCGGAGGUUGGCACAUCUUGACCUGCCUCUUCCAGGCAGAUGGAGAAGAGGGAAUCUGCUGAUGUGCGCUCAGGGCAUAAACAAUCCAUAUCCCGCCCCGGGCCUCUGCGUGCUGGGAGUGUUAACGCCUGCCACAGGGCGUCCCACGGAGAACAGCGCUGAUCCAGAGCCCAGAGAGAACGGGAACCACGGAAUCCAGCUGUUAGACGCUGGAUUCUGCCUCCUCUCCAGGAUGACACAGCAGGUUCUGUGGCCACAUACCCCCGCACCCCCCUCCAUUGUCUGCAGCCCAGUCAAGGCCUCAGGGGCUGCACAGGAGGCAGCGAGGUGUCAUAUAAGAUCUGGGAUGGAAAGAGGUGAUUUUGCCACCUGCUAUGGGACGGUAGGCCAGGGCAGCCUCCCAGUCACAGCUUCCCACUUGAAGGGGGAUCAAGACCUCUGCCCUGCCGGAUCUGUGGGAUUCUUUUGAGGAUCAUAUCAGAUCACUGCUGCGAUGGUUCCUUCUGAACUCCGUACGGGACUGCAGAAUGAUGAUGACGAUGACAGCAAUGCCAUAAAAUUGGAACUGUACAGUGUGUAGCCUUUUCAGAUUGGUUUCUAUCACUUAGCACUCAAGGUUCCUCCAUGUCUUUUCUUUUUUUGAAGAUUUUAUUUAUUUAUCGGGGGGGGGGGGCACAGGUAGGGGGAGGGGCAGAGGGAGAAACAGACUCCACGCUGAGCAGGGAGCCCGAUAUGGUCCCAAUCCCAGGACCCCAGGAUCAUGACAUGAGUCAAAGGCAGCUGCUUAACCAACCCAAGUGCCCCUCUUCCACGUCUUUUCAUUGCUUGGUAGCUCAUUUCUCUUUGUGGCUGAGUUAUAUUCCGUUGGGUAGAUUUCAUUUACUCACUCACCUAUUGAAGGACAUCUUUGUGGCUUCCAAGUUUAAAGUGGCUAUAAAUAUUCAUGUGCAGGUUUUGCGUGGACAUAAGUUUUCAAGUCCUUUGGGUAAAUAUCUAGAAGCAGGAUGAUUGCUGGAUCAUAUGGCAAGCUUAUUUUGUGCUUUGCAACUGCCAAAUUGUCUUUUAGAGUGGCUGUACGUACCAUUUUGCAUUCCCAACCGCAAUAAAUGAGAGUUUCUGUUGUGCCACAUCCUCGCAGGCAUCUGCUGCUGUCAGUGUUUUGGAUUUCAGCCAUCCUAAUAGGUCUGUAGUGCUCUCCUGUUUUGAUUUGCAGCUCCCUAAUGACAUAUGAUGUCGGGUGUGUUUUCAUCUGUUUAUUCCCCAUCUGUAUGUCUUCAAUAGUGAAGUGUCUGUGUAGAUUUUUGGCCACUUAAAUAUUAGAUUAGUUUCUCAUUGUUGAGCUUUAAGAGUUCUUUGUGUGUUUCAGGUAAUGGAUAGAAGUUUUGCAGAGAUUUUUCUCCCAAUCUGUGCUUUUCUUUUCAUUCUCUUGACUUCUCACGGAGUAGAAGUUUUUGAUUUUACUGACACCCAGCUUGUCAAUCUUUUCUUUCAGGAAUUGUGCUUUUGGUGUUGUAUCUACAAAGCCAAGCCCAAGCUCACCUGGAUUUUUUCCUAUGCAACCUUCUAGAAGUUUUAUAGUUUUGCAUUUUACAUUUAGGUCUAUGACCUAUUUUGAGUCAAUUUUUGUGAACGAUAUAAGGUCUAUGUUUGGAUUCUUCUUUUUUUUUUUGCAUGUGGAUGUCCUGUUGUCUAGCACCAUUUGUUCAGAAGACUCUCUUCUCCACUGAAUUGCCUUGCUCCUUUGUCAAAGAUCAGUGGAGAGUAUUUGCAUGGAUCUAUUUUUGGCUUCUGUAUUCUGUCCCAUUGAUCUAUUUAUCUCUUCUUUUACCAAAACCACACUGUCUUGAUUGCUGUAGAUUUGGAGUAAGGCUUAAAGUUGGGUAGAGUUAGUUCACUAACUUUGUUCUGCCUUAGUAUUGUGUUGGUUAUUCUGUGUUUUAGAAUCAGUUUGUAGAAAACGCACAAAUCUGCUGGGAUUUUGGUUGAGACUGCAUCGAAUCUAUAGAUCAAGCUGGAAAAAACUGAUAUCUUAACAUUAUUGAGGCUUCUUACCCAUAAACAUAGGGUAUUUCUCCAUUUAUUUAGUCUUACAUCUUUGUUAUCAACAUUUGGUGGUUUUCUUCCUACAGACCUUUUACAAAUUUUGUUAGAUUUACAACUAAGUACUUCUUUUUCUUUUUUCUCCCCCCCGGCCACACAUUUUUUUUUUUCUGGUGUUAAUAUGUAAAUAGUGUUCACUUUUAAUUUUAAAUUCCAAUUGUUUAUUGCUGGAAUAUAUGGAAACAGUUGACUUUGCAUCCCACAAGCUUACUAUAGUCAUUUAUUAGUUUAAGGAGAUUUUGGGGAUUCCUUGGGAUUUUCUACACAUCAAGUCAUCUGCAAACAAGGGAAGUUUUAUUUCUUUCUUCCCAAUCUGUAUUCCUUUUAUUUUCUUUUCCUGUUUUAUGACAUUAGCUCAGACUUGCAGUACGAUGUUCAAAGGAGUGGUGAUUGGGACAUCCUGGUCUGUUCCUGAUCAUAGGGGGAUAGAAUCUAGUUUCUCACUGUCAAGUCUGAUAUUAUCUGCAGGUUUUUGUAGACAUUUUUAUCAAGCUAAGGAAGCUUCUCUCUGUAUUUUUAUGAGACUUUUUAUCAUGAAUGGGUAUUGGAUUUUGUCGAACCCUUUUCUGCAUCUAUUGAUAUGAUCCUAUGAUUUUUCCUCUUUAGCUUAUUGAUGUGAUGGGUUAUACUAAUUGAUUUGGAAUGUGGAACCAGCUUUGCACCCACUUGGUUGUGUUAUAUAAUUCUUUUUAUACAUUAUUGAUUUGAUUUGUUAAUCCUCUGCUGAGGAUUUUUGCAUGUAUGUUCAUUUUUUAAAGACUCCCCCUAGGGACUCCUGGGUGGCUCUGAGGUUGAGCAUCUGGGUGUGAUCCCAGGCUCUGGGAAUCAAGUCUCACAUUGAGCUCCCCACAGGGGAGCCUGCUUCUCCCCCUGCCUAUGUCUCUGCCUCUCUUUGUGUAUCUCUUAUGAAUAAAUAAAUACAAGCUAUUUAAAAAAAAAAAAAAAA